rnacentral:siRNA from 1 species
CUGUUUGCACUACUUCAUGUACCU